rnacentral:rRNA from 1 species
UACGAAGGGGGCUAGCGUUGCUCGGAAUCACUGGGCGUAAAGGGCGCGUAGGCGGGAUGGCAAGUCGGUCGUGAAAUCCCUGGGCUCAACUCAGGGGGGUCGGCCGAUACUGCCGUUCUUGAGGGAUGCAGAGGAGACUGGAAUUCCCGGUGUAGCGGUGAAAUGUGUAGAGAUCGGGAGGAACACCGGUGGCGAAGGCGGGUCUCUGGGCAUUCCCUGACGCUGAGGCGCGAAAGCGUGGGGAGCAAACGGG